rnacentral:rRNA from 1 species
UACGGAGGGUGCAAGCGUUGUCCGGAUUUAUUGGGUUUAAAGGGUGCGUAGGCGGAUGAAUAAGUCCGAGGUGAAAGACGGUCGCUUAACGAUCGCAGUGCCUUGGAUACUGUUUAUCUUGAGUACAGAUGAGGCUGAUGGAAUGGGUGGUGUAGCGGUGAAAUGCAUAGAUACCAUCCAGAACACCGAUUGCGAAGGCGGCUCACUGGCCCGAUACUGACGCUGAGGCACGAAAGCGUGGGGAGCAAACAGG